rnacentral:rRNA from 1 species
UACGUAGGCAGCAAGCGUUGUUCGGAGUUACUGGGCGUAAAGAGUGUGUAGGCGGUUCUUUAAGUUUGGUGUGAAAUCUCCCGGCUUAACUGGGAGGGUGCGCCGAAAACUGGAGGGCUCGAGUAUGGGAGAGGAAAGCGGAAUUCCUGGUGUAGCGGUGAAAUGCGUAGAUAUCGGGAAGAACACCUAUGGCGAAGGCAGCUCUCUGGGACGGUACUGACGCUGAGACGCGAAAGCGUGGGGAGCGAACAGG